rnacentral:rRNA from 1 species
CCUACGGGCUGCAGCAGUGAGGAAUAUUGGUCAAUGGACGAGAGUCUGAACCAGCCAAGUAGCGUGAAGGAUGACUGCCCUAUGGGUUGUAAACUUCUUUUAUAUGGGAAUAAAAUGUUCCACGUGUGGGAUUUUGUAUGUACCAUAUGAAUAAGGAUCGGCUAACUCCGUGCCAGCAGCCGCGGUAAUACGGAGGAUCCGAGCGUUAUCCGGAUUUAUUGGGUUUAAAGGGAGCGUAGGUGGAUUGUUAAGUCAGUUGUGAAAGUUUGCGGCUCAACCGUACAAUUGCAGUUGAAACUGGCAGUCUUGAGUACAGUAGAGGUGGGCGGAAUUCGUGGUGUAGCGGUGAAAUGCUUAGAUAUCACGAAGAACUCCGAUUGCGAAGGCAGCUCACUGGACUGCAACUGACACUGAGGCUCGAAAGUGUGGGUAGCAAACAGGAUUAGAUACCCUAGUAGUC